GAACUCCCCCCGUAAUUGGGGAGGAGAGAGGUGGAUAGGGGAAAAGAGAGAGACCCCUGGCUAUAAGACCCCGAUGAGUGGGGUAGAGACCCCGGUGCAGGGGGUAGAUCUCAGGAAUGAAAAACAAUAUGUAAAAUAAAUGACGAAAUGAAAAAUGACAUCAACAAAAUGGUGUUUCUUUCAAUUCUUCUCAAUAAAAUUUCACUCCAUACCAUAUUUUCUAUCUAAUCCAGUUUUGUUUCUUUCAGGAGACCAGUCAUUUGAAGAACAUCACAUUGGAUUUGUCACAUAUCCCAUACGUUAUUCUUCAUUCCUUGAUAUAUGUUUUAUUUUUGUAAUGCCAUCAAUGGUAUUGUUAUAUUUUCCUUCCAUUUUCCUUGUUAUUGUCACAUUCUAACUAAAAAGAAAGUUCCAUGUAAUCCCUUGUUUAGAGAUGCUCAUUAUUGUAAUACUGUCUGUAAUAAAUCAAUUUUUUCCUUUGUUUCAAGGGUCAAGCAGUUACAUGGUUGAAAGAUCCUGCACAGAGCAUACAGCAGAUGGGACCUCUCCUAGGGAAGGAAGCAGAACUUGGUCCAGGAGAAACAGACCGGGGAGGAACCAGCCAUCAGCAGAAGGAUACAGCACAUAGUAUAUGUAUGGUAUAUAAUUUUGUAAAUAAUUGUAUAUACAAGUCAUGUAAAGCUUCUCAAAUAUCAAUAAUAUAUGUAGUGGCAUAGAAAAUGUAAGGUAUACAGGUAUAAUUAUGCCAACCAUGUGUAGAUUAUUCAAUAUGAAUGUAGUAGUUUCUUAGUGUAUACAAGUCGUGUAUAGCAUAUUCAACAUCUGAUAUUUGUAGUGGCAUAGUACAUGUAUGAUAUAAAAUCAUGUCAAUCAUAUGUUGAUUAUUUCAUGUAUGAAUGUAAGUGUUUUAGAGUAUAUGCAAGUCAUGUACAUCUUAUUCAAUAUUUAUGUGUCAUAGUGUAUUUGAUUAAUGUAUAGUUCAAUAUGUAUAGUUUAUAUAUGUAUAGUUUUAUAGUUAAUCAAUAUAUAGUCAUGUAUAGUUUCCUUUUCUUUGCAAUUAUACCUUCAAAAUGUAUCAAAUCUCAUCAUUGUAAGUACCUGUAAUAGGAUUGUGAGAUAAGAGUGGUGAUGUGAAAUUUUGUAAGUAAAACUGUCGAGACUCAAA